GAUGAACGCUGGCGGCGUGCCUAAUACAUGCAAGUCGAGCGAACGGACGAGAAGCUUGCUUCUCUGAUGUUAGCGGCGGACGGGUGAGUAACACGUGGAUAACCUACCUAUAAGACUGGGAUAACUUCGGGAAACCGGAGCUAAUACCGGAUAAUAUUUUGAACCGCAUGGUUCAAAAGUGAAAGACGGUCUUGCUGUCACUUAUAGAUGGAUCCGCGCUGCAUUAGCUAGUUGGUAAGGUAACGGCUUACCAAGGCAACGAUGCAUAGCCGACCUGAGAGGGUGAUCGGCCACACUGGAACUGAGACACGGUCCAGACUCCUACGGGAGGCAGCAGUAGGGAAUCUUCCGCAAUGGGCGAAAGCCUGACGGAGCAACGCCGCGUGAGUGAUGAAGGUCUUCGGAUCGUAAAACUCUGUUAUUAGGGAAGAACAUAUGUGUAAGUAACUGUGCACAUCUUGACGGUACCUAAUCAGAAAGCCACGGCUAACUACGUGCCAGCAGCCGCGGUAAUACGUAGGUGGCAAGCGUUAUCCGGAAUUAUUGGGCGUAAAGCGCGCGUAGGCGGUUUUUUAAGUCUGAUGUGAAAGCCCACGGCUCAACCGUGGAGGGUCAUUGGAAACUGGAAAACUUGAGUGCAGAAGAGGAAAGUGGAAUUCCAUGCGUAGCGGUGAAAUGCGCAGAGAUAUGGAGGAACACCAGUGGCGAAGGCGACUUUCUGGUCUGUAACUGACGCUGAUGUGCGAAAGCGUGGGGAUCAAACAGGAUUAGAUACCCUGGUAGUCCACGCCGUAAACGAUGAGUGCUAAGUGUUAGGGGGUUUCCGCCCCUUAGUGCUGCAGCUAACGCAUUAAGCACUCCGCCUGGGGAGUACGACCGCAAGGUUGAAACUCAAAGGAAUUGACGGGGACCCGCACAAGCGGUGGAGCAUGUGGUUUAAUUCGAAGCAACGCGAAGAACCUUACCAAAUCUUGACAUCCUUUGACAACUCUAGAGAUAGAGCUUUCCCCUUCGGGGGACAAAGUGACAGGUGGUGCAUGGUUGUCGUCAGCUCGUGUCGUGAGAUGUUGGGUUAAGUCCCGCAACGAGCGCAACCCUUAAGCUUAGUUGCCAUCAUUAAGUUGGGCACUCUAAGUUGACUGCCGGUGACAAACCGGAGGAAGGUGGGGAUGACGUCAAAUCAUCAUGCCCCUUAUGAUUUGGGCUACACACGUGCUACAAUGGACAAUACAAAGGGCAGCGAAACCGCGAGGUCAAGCAAAUCCCAUAAAGUUGUUCUCAGUUCGGAUUGUAGUCUGCAACUCGACUACAUGAAGCUGGAAUCGCUAGUAAUCGUAGAUCAGCAUGCUACGGUGAAUACGUUCCCGGGUCU
rnacentral:rRNA from 1 species